rnacentral:rRNA from 1 species
UUCUGAUAAAGGAAUCUUUUGCCCGUUGUAAACGCACGGGCGAAUAAGGGGUGGGCAAGUCUGGUGUCAGCCGCCGCGGUAAUACCAGCACCUCGAGUGGUCAGGACGAUUAUUGGGCCUAAAGCAUCCGUAGCUGGUCUUGCAAGUCUCCGGUUAAAUCCACCUGCUCAACAGAUGGGCCGCUGGAGAUACUACAAGACUAGGGAGUGGGAGAGGCAGACGGUACUCGGGGGGUAGGGGUAAAAUCCUCUGAUCCUUUGAAGACCACCAGUGGCGAAGGCGGUCUGCCAGAACACGUUCGACAGUGAGGGAUGAAAGCUGGGGGAGCAAACCGGAUUAGAUACCCCCGUAGUCC